GACGAAGGGGGCUAGCGUUGUUCGGAAUUACUGGGCGUAAAGCGCGUGUAGGUGGUUGUCGUAGUCAGGCGUGAAAGCCUUGAGCUCAACUCAAGAAAUGCGCUUGAUACUGGGCAGCUAGAGGACCGGAGAGGAUAGUGGAAUUUCCGGUGUAGCGGUGAAAUGCGUAGAUAUCGUAAGGAACGCCAGUGGCGAAAGCGAAUCUCUGGGCAGCAACUGACGCUGAGGCACGAAGGCCAGGGGAGCAAACGGG
rnacentral:rRNA from 1 species